AAUGGUGAAAAUGUAAAUAAAAUUGCAAUGAUGUAAUUUAUGCAAGAACCAAACACUGGAAAUGGAUAAAAACUAAGACUCUGUAUUGCUACGGGAUCUUCAAGGGUCCCUCACCUCCAGAAAAAGAAAUACAAGUUCAGACUAUUGAAUUCAUAAAACUAAAUACCAACUCCCUUUCAUCCUUAUAGGUGUGGAUGGCAGAGAUUUACAAAAGACUGAAUCUUAUAACUGCUUUUAUUCUUCUUUAGUUAAAAGAUACAUAGGCUACUUCUAGAACAAACUGCAGCGCAGCUCUCCACAUUACUGAAAUGGCACUGUAUCAUUUCCAAGAUAAUUAUCCUAAACACAGCACUUCACUGAACUUUCACAAUGCAGCACCAUGACUUCAUACGGAAAACGACGCCAUAACCUUCCCUGGUUCCCAUGACAUCAUUUCAAGUUCAGUAUAUCAAUUCCUUUGCAAGACAUGAACUCCAAACCUUCAUUUCUAUGUUUGGUCGUCCUGAUGAAACCCAUUUCUCCCCCUUUCACCCAGACCGCCAUCCUUGAUCUUCUUCACGAUCUGAGCUCCUAACAAUCCCCCCUGCUUAAAGAACCUUGCCCACAAGGUGUGGGUAAUGCUCUUGAAGUCUUCAAAGCAACUCCCAUGUGUUAUCAUUGGAAGAAGCCCCAAGCCAUUUCACUAAUACUUCUGUCACCGCCCUAUGCCCAAGCUUAUUUAUGUGCCAAUCUACCACUUCUUCUGGCUCCGGUUGGAUAUCCCCAUUUUUAUCCAUGGGUGGCAGUGUGGGAAUGGAUUGGAUAUGGGAUCCAAACUUCUUUUUCAGGCAAGAAACGUGGAAGACUAGGUUUAUUUGGGAUGAAGCUGGGAGAUCCAAGCGGUAGGCAACAAUUCCAAUCCAUUGAAGAAUUUUAAUGACCCAAAAAACCUCGGUGAUAGUUUUAGAUUCAGGUGAUAGUUUUAGAUUCAGGCACCUCACCACCGAGUUCUAUCGAUAGGGCUAUAAAUGAGUCGAUCCAUAGCAUCUGUAGAUGAAGUACCUGGUACAUAAGAUAAGAGACAAGGGGGAGGAUACCCAUACAAUGCUUCGAAAUGUGAAAUUUUUGUCGAAGUAUGAUAAGAAUUGUUGUAACUAUAUUCUGCCAAAGGAAGCCACUUACUCCAUUGUUUCUGUUUGGAGCCUAUGUAGCAACGUAAAUAAGUUUCUAAACAUUUGUUGAGAGCCUCAAUUUUUCCAUCA